GACAGGGCAGGGCUCUGGCUCAGCUGUCCGUGUCUCUCCACAUUAUCUGUGGUUAGAGUGAUGGACCCUCCGUCCUGAAAGGGUGAAUAGGAGCUUGUCUACAGCUGUGGUGCUCAGAGUGAUGUCUAGGAAAACACCAGGAGUCAGGACAAACAGCCAGAAGGUUGUGUCACUACAGUGUAUUUAAACCACAGGAAAUCCAUAAUACAAUCAAGCUAUAAGCUACCAGCCACAAAGUCAUAAAAACUACCUGUGGACUAGAACAGACGCACCUCAUCAAUCCAGGCGUAUUUCUCCUUCC